GACGAACGCUGGCGGCGUGCCUAAUACAUGCAAGUCGAACGCAGUGGGGACGGGUGAGUAACACGUGGGUAACCUCCCAUCAGAGGGGAUAACACUUGGAAACAGGUGCUAAACCGAUACUGAUGGAUGGACCCGCGGUGCAUUAGCUAGUUGGUGAGGUAACGGCUCACCAAGGCCACGAUGCAUAGCCGACCUGAGAGGGUGCUCGGCCACACUGGGACUGGGACACGGCCUAGACUCCGACGGCAGGCAGCAGGAGGGAAUCUUGGGCAAUUGACGAAAGUCUGACCGUGCCAUGCCGCGUAAGUGAAGAAGGUUUUCGGAUCGUAAAGCUCUGUUCUUAUAGCAGCGGUAUCUAAGCAGAAAGCCACGGCUAACUACGUGCCAGCAGCCGCGGUAAUUC
rnacentral:rRNA from 1 species